rnacentral:lncRNA from 1 species
UUUUUUUUUUUUUUUUUUGUCUUAUCUUUUUGUCUUUUUUUUUGGCCUUGCCCAUGGCAUAUGGAGGUUUCCAGGCUAGGUGUUGAAUUGGAGCUGUAGCUGUUGGCCUACACCACAGCAAUACCAGAUCUGAGCCACAUCUGUGACCUCACCACAGUUCACAGUAAAGCAGGAUCCUUAACCCACUGAGUGAGGCCAAGAUCGAACCUGUAUCCUCAUGGAUACUAGUCAGAUUUGUUUCCACAGAGCCAUGAUGGGGGCUCUCAUACCAGUCUUUUAAAAUGAUUUUGAUGGGAGUUCCCUGGUGGCCUAGUCAGUUAAGGAUCCUAUGUUCUCACUGCUGCAGUUCAGGCUGCUGUGGCACAGGUUUGAUCCCUGGUCCAGCAUGGUGAAAAAAAUAAAUAAAAUAAAAGGCCUCUUUAUUUAAAAAAAGUUAUUACUAAAAUUAAUCACAUUGUUAUGUUUCAAAUAUAAUAUUAAGUCCUACGUUCAACUGGUGCUACAUUGCAGUAGCCAGCUUUUAAUUUCAGACCUCCAGACUUAAAUUAACUUAGUGGACACUUUAUGUCCAAAUAGUGAAAGUCCCAUUGCAAAGUGGAAUUUUCAUGGAGUAAAACACUAGGCCCUGAAAUGCAACUAUCUCAGGAGCCCCUGCCAACAUAGCAUAUGUGUAUCUAAGAGAAAGAAAAAAGAAAUAGCCCUCCUUUGGGCUACUUCUUUCAGCAACCUCAUAAAAAAAACCAUGUUUACUUUAACCUGUCCAGUGCCUGAUCCUACCUGGCAUUCCUGUGUUUUUGUACUUGGAGAUGCCUAGAUCAUGGACAGGAAAUGCUUGGUAUGUUCCAGAAUGAAGAGUCCACAGAGAUAUGAUGAAGAAAAUUCUUGAGAGUUUUGCAUGUCUCACUUUAAAAAUCUCAGGUCCUUCAGCCCCAAACACAGACAAGUAUUCUUACUUAAUUGCAUUAUUCUUCUCUUUGGUUUGUUUGCUGUGUUUGUGGUUCUUAUUGCGCUCAUUUGUUUGUCUUUUUCAUUUGAAAAGUCAAUAUUCUAAAAAAGUUUUUUUUUUUUUUUAGGUCUACACCUGUGGCAUAUGGAAGUUCCCAGGAUAGGGACCAAACUGGAGCUGUAGCUGUCAGCCUAAGCUACAGCCGCAGCAACGCCAGAUCUGAGACUCAUCUGUGCCUACACUGCAGCUCACAACAAUGCUGAGUGGGGCCAGGGAUUGAACCCACAUCUUCAUGGAUACUGGUCGAUUUUGUUUCUGUUGAGCCACAGAGGGAACUCCAAAAAGAUGGUAUUUUUAAAAACUUGAAGAAAAAAUUUUAGAGGAUGCUGUAUAAUGACUAAAAGAGCCAGAAGUCUGAAUCUUUCUAAAACAUUUAAACAUUCAGGACUUUCUCUGAAGGAAGAAUCUAUAGUCUGUGCAGACAUCAAUCAGCUGUCUUUCAUCUUCCUCCACCUCUUGUUCAAAUUAUGAGUGAAACUAUAGCAUUGUAGAACUUGCUGCUCCCCAGUGAAGUUGUCCUAAAGAUCAUUUUCUACCACCCUGAAAGUUUAACUACAACUACAUUUAAUUGGCAAUGGUGGGCAGUUCAUCAGGGGUGUUACAGUGUGACUAUUCAGGAAAUGUCUGCCUGCUGAAGGGCUGGCAGGCUUAUUCCUCUCAAAUCUCCCAAGAUCACUUGUCGAAAUAUUUUGUGCUACAGUGUUGACGAUGUGCCCAGUUCAAUCAAUCAAUCAACAAAAAUACAUGUUAAAGGCCUGUUCUAUCACUACUGCUAACAUGAAACCCCAGCUCUGUUGACCAGUGUGCUUGUGUGAAUUGUGUUCAGGCAAAAGUUAGGGUGAUCUUUGCCUGAUCCCCCUGGAUUCAUGCUAUUGUUUCUAGCCCUUUCCAAAUGGGAAAAAAAAAUCAACAAAUCCCCCCCAAAAUAGUUAUUGAACAUCUAAAUUGCACCCACAGUUUUAGUAGACAUAUUUCCUCUCAUCUGAUGAAACACUCAGACCAAGGUCCCUCCUCUCCUUCCUUUCCUCUUCCAAGAACAGUUUAUUAGCACCUAAUGAGUGUAUAGAAUUAUGUAGUUAACCAAGUGUUUUUAAUCUUAACCCUGCCAGCAAUACAGAGGGGGACUAUUUCUUUCUCAGACAGCUGAGGAACCAGGAGACUUGGAUUUGUCUGAGGUCACAGCCAGUAGAGAGCAAGGCACAUGUAAACCCUCAAGUCUUCAACCCCAGAGUGACUUUCCCCAGGUCCCCAUUUCUCCCUACUCCCUGUAAAACACUGGAAUAAAUAUUUGAGUUUGAAAAAUAGGAGUAAGAAUCAGAUGAAUAAAAUAGCUUUUCACCUCAGAAGUUUAAUAUCAGAAGUAACCCAAUGAUUUGUCUCAGUCUAAAACAGAACCACGAGCCUGAUGCAUUUCAUAAUCCUUCCCUUCCCUCAUAUCCGACUCAAGAUGAUUAGAAUCUCUGGAGUCGUCCAUGGUUGCCAGGCCUCAAAAAGUCCUACUUGCGUGACUCUCUCUUAAUACUGAUUCAAAAAACAUUUCUCAGUGCCAUGAUUCUGGACAGAUGUUUUUCUAGCUGUGUCUAGUUCAGCGUCUGUUUCUUCUCCUCCUCUUCUCCCACCACCCUGCAUUUCACCCCAGUGUGGUUGUUGGCCUGGCCCUUUCCUUCCAUUCAAACAGUCUGAGGUAAGGUUACAAUUGACCUUCAUGUCACCUAAGUCAAAGACAUUCUUUUUCUCUAUCUUUGACUUGUCAAGAGGCAGAAGAGCAGAGUGGUAAACAAAGCCUAGAACUCUGAAGUCAGACUGCCUUGUUUUGAACCCUAACUCCUCUAUUUACUCCUUGUGUGAUCUCAAGCAAAGGACUUAAUCUCUCUCUGUUUCACUUCCUUCAUCCACAAAAUGAGGAUGAUAAUAACAUCUGCAUCAUAGCAGAGGUGGAAGGAUUCAAGGAUUUAAUAUAAGUAAAACCCUGAAAAAGUGUCUGAUGCAUAGUAGGUGUUGGCUGUUAUUAUUUAUUAUUACCUGAGCUGCUCAGCAUGUUAACUAUUUUUUGGUCUUUAAUUUCAGUCUUCCUUCCGUUGAUCUCCAUGGCACCAUGUUUUCACUAAUUUGCCCUAUCCUCUCCAAGAAUUUUCUCAUUCCCCUUGGUAGAUGCUCAUUCUUUUUUUUUCCCACUUAACAAAUAAAUGUUUAAUUUCUUCUCAUUUCAUUUACAUAGUAGAUUAUUUGCAUCAUUUUUCAGUCCCUGGGCAAUCUCAUAAAAGUCACACAUUAGGACACCAAGUUCAUGUAAAUAUAUGUUUUCAUGACAGACUCUUCCCUAGAAUUCUUGAUGUACAUAUCUACCUUCCUUUUUAAUCUCUCCACUUGCAUAUCUCACAUACGCGUUAAACCCAAUCUUUCAUCCUCAAACUGGUCACUUUCUGGUAUUCCUCUUAGCAAAUACAACUACCAGGCAAUGUGUUAUUGAUGCUAGAAACCAAAGUAUCAACCAGGAUACUUCUGUCACACUCACCUCCAGUAUUCAAUCCAUCACUAAGCCCUGAAGAUUAUACUUCCCAUGUCCUUUUUUUAGAUAUUCCUCAACCCCCAUCAACGCUACUACUAUAUUUCACCUGGAAGAAGGCAACAGCUGUCAAAGUACCCUCUUCUUGUCACUCUGACCCUGUACAUCAAGCAGAACAAUCUUUUUAAACAGAAAGAGGUCCUAUUAUUAUCUGUUUAGAACACCUUGAUAUCUUUCUUGUACUUUUAUAAUAAAGACAAACUAACUCCUUAACUGAGCUCACAAAACUGUAUCUCAGCAGCUUUAAAUCUUCUCACACCUCCUCUUGCUUUCAUACUAUCAAAUCACUGACCACAGUUUUAGUUCAUUAAGUUCCUUUAAAAGGAAAAAAAAAAAAAAAAGGAUUUCCCGUUGUGGCUCAACAGUAAUGAACCUGACUGAUAAUGAGGUUCAUGACGAUGCAGGUUUGAUCCCUGGCCUCGCUCAGUGGAUUAAGGAUCCGGCGUUGCCGUGAGCUGUAGUGUAGGCCAGCAGCUGCACUCUGAUUUGACACCUGGCCUGGGUACUUCCGUAUGCCAUGGGUACAGCCCUAAAAAGCAC